AGCGAACGCUGGCGGCAGGCCUAACACAUGCAAGUCGAGCGCCGUAGCAAUACGGAGCGGCAGACGGGAGAGUAACACGUGGGAACGUGCCCUUUGGUUCGGAACAACCCAGGGAAACUUGGGCUAAUACCGGAUAAGCCCUCACGGGGAAAGAUUUAUCGCCGAAGGAUCGGCCCGCGUCUGAUUAGCUAGUUGGUGGGGUAAUGGCCCACCAAGGCGACGAUCAGUAGCUGGUCUGAGAGGAUGAUCAGCCUCACUGGGACUGAGACACGGCCCAGACUCCUACGGGAGGCAGCAGUGGGGAAUAUUGGACAAUGGGCGCAAGCCUGAUCUAGCCAUGCCGCGUGGGUGAUGAAGGCCCUAGGGUUGUAAAGCCCUUUCGGCGGGGAAGAUAAUGACGGUACCCGCAGAAGAAGCCCCGGCUAACUUCGUGCCAGCCGCCGCCGUAAUAC
rnacentral:rRNA from 1 species